rnacentral:lncRNA from 1 species
UUUGAUAUUGUAGCCAUUCUUUGAUUGCACCUAAAUGACGUAUUUUCAUAUUCUCUUGGUUCAAAAUCUUAGACAGAAGUUGGUUUUGCAACCACAACUUGGAAUCAUGGUCAUCAACACCCAUUCUGCUCUUAAGACUACCCUUGAGGUUCCCCAUAAAACAUUUAAGUUGAAAAUUGCUAGAGAGUUGGUUGUCUAAAGCUCUAGCAAUGGUGGACUUACCAAUCCCUGCAGGACCCCAAAUCCCAAUCAUCUUGACUUCAUCACUUUCCAAGCAUAACAAAGAGUUCAAUUUUGCCAAGUGAGCUUCAUGUCCCACCAUCCCGUCAAAAUCCUUCGACGGUGUAAGAUUAAGUUUGUUUGAAACAUCGGUAGCAAUCUUUUUAAUCAUAUCUGCUUCAUUAGCCCUAACAAAAGCAAAACAAAAUCAUGUUGGUGGGUCGAAAUUACAAAAAUUUGAAGCACUAAUUCAUUCAGAGACAAAAAAAAAAAGAAAAAAAAAAAAAAGAAGAAGAUAAAAACAAGAUACCAAUUAAGAGAAUGUUCUCCUUCUAUGUUUGCAGCAUGAGUCAAAGCAUUGCUCCAACUCUGCUUCGUCUCCUCACUUUUCCCUUCACAAGUCUUCAUGAAUGCGGUUCCGAAAUCUCCCUUCUGUUUCCGUACACUCGACGGAUCAACGUCAUAGAAGAUGGUCAUCACGAUCUGCCCCUGAUCUUCUUUGCACUUGAAGAUUUCCACAAGUUCAUCUAAACACCAGCUCGAAGAAGCGUACUUCUUCGAGAGCAGCACGAUCGAGACUCGAGAUUCUCUAAUCGCUUGUACGAGCUCAGGUUUAAUCGUGUGGCCUCUCUCGAUCUCCUGAUCUUUAAACGUCGUGAUCCCUUUGCUUGCGAAGUGAUCGUGUAAAUGACUGAGAAACCCUCUACGAACAUCUGGGCCAUGGAAGCUCGGGAAAACAUGGUAUCUCAUGAUGCCAGAGGAAGAAGAAGAAGAAGCCAUGAGAGAUCACAAAUGCUUGAACUUGAAGAAAGUAUUUUUAGAAUGGUAUUGGAGAAAGUAUGAUUGGAAAAGCAAGAUCCUUCGGUUAUUUAUCGAAGCAAAAAAAACGCGUAAAAGGAGAAGAGAAAUUUCGAAGAAAUUGGAAUGUACUGAAGAAAUACAAAAUAGACAAAUUUCAAAGGAAAGCUCCUUUGGUUUUUGUAGUGAAGCAAAAAAACGCGUAAAGAGAAGAGAAAUUUCGAAGAAAUUGGAAUGUAAUUGAAGAAAUACAAAAUAGAAGGGGACAAAUUUCAAAAGCGUACGUGUUUCUUUAUAGUCGUCGAGGACCACAAUCACUCAUUAAAGCUUUGCCAUGUGAAAUGAGCACAGAGUUAUAAUAAGUAUCCGACAGUCAAGUUGGUAGAGAGCACAGAGUUAUAAUAAGUAUCCGACAGUCAAGAUGGUAGAGACGACGAAUCACGAAGUUUCGAAUGAGCUCAACCACAUACCACAUUUGGUUUGAAAAGUAAACCGGGUCUUUUAUUUGUUUUAAAUUCAAUAACAGUAAUAUCGAAUUAAAUUCUGCUUUUGGGAAUGAUGAUUUUGGAUAUUUAACUUAGGUUUUUUCUGUUUUUUUUUUUUUUUUGUGUAGUGGAUGUAUUGAAAUAACGUGUGGCUUCUAUUUUAACAGCUUAUGUUUCAUUGGUGUGGAGGACACUCAGUUUCAUAAGUAAAAGAGAAGUUAUCAAAGAAAUUACGAAUUUGACAUUUUAGGGCCUGAUAUUGGGCCCUUAACUUUAUAAACGGGCCGAGCCUGAGAUUUCGGUUUUCCCGAUACUCGCAACUAAGGGUGUCAAAAUAAGCUAGCUCGCUCAACUCGGUUCAGCUCAUGAUGAGCUCGGACAUUUUAUGAGCUAACUCAGCUCAGCUCAUUUAUUAGAUGAGCUUCAAUAUAUAAAUUCGGACUCAGAUCAUCUUGGUCACGAGUUAAAUGAGCUAGCUCAUAACAAAUAAAUAUAAUAACAAAAAUAUUGUAAAUUUUUUUUAAAAAAUUAAAAUAAAUCCAAUAACAUAAUUAAUUCUAAAGUUAAAUAAUGGAAAUAAACCGAGAAAAAAAUAAUCUCAAAACGCCAAACAAAAAAAAUCUCAAAUAAUAAAUCCUAACAAUUAAAUUAAAUUAAUUAAAGAUAAUAGAAAUAUGGAAUGAUCAAGAAUUUAUUCCGUGUUAGAGUCUUGCUCUUGAGAUGAUCCUACAUCAACAUCUUCAUUGUCUUCAUCUACAAGUAAACGUUUUAGAUAAUAUCUAAAUAUGAUAAUUCCUUUCAUUUUUUUGGGAAACGUUUAAGAUAAAUUUUUUAAAGGAUUAUUUCUAUAUUACUUAAUUAUCUUCUAAAAUUAAUAUGUAAAAACACAAAUUUUUUAAAAGAAUAAUUCUAUUUUUGUUUAAUUUAUAUGGAAAAGAUAUAUAUAUAUAUAUAUAUAUAUAUAUAUAUAUAUAUAUAUUUCUAAAAAAAGUCGAGCUCAUGUUCAUUAAAGCUUGCUCAUAUAACUCGCGAUCUAAAAAAAGCUCGAUCACAUAACUCAUUUAUUAAAUGAGCCUAAAAAACAGAGCUCGUGCUCAUGAAAAAUCGAGCUGAGCUGAACCAGCUUAUGAGUUGCGAGCUCAUUUUGACACCCCUACUCGCAACAAAUCCGUUCAAAACAGUAUUUUAUCUAAAUCGCGCUAAAAUUUUAUCAUCCCACCUAACAUUGUGGGAUGUGCAAGCAACGUGAAGGCCAUAACAUUGAUACUAUAUGCGAUUAACAAUUAUUAAAAAGUGUAUUUUAUAUAUGGGACUCCAAAGAACUCGGAAAAUGUUUUCAACGAUCAAAAUCACACCAAACCAAAAUUCAACAUUUUCCUGCAACUUUUUUUUUUCUCUUAAUUUUCUUAGCAACCAAGAAGAAGAAAAGACAGAGGAAAAAUAAAACUCUUUUUUCUUCGUCUUCUGAAUUCCUCAGUUGCUUUCAAAUUCUCAUUUAAAUCUGUUGUAUUGAUCGGUGAGAGACAUUCUACGUAACCAAUUUUUCAAAGGUUGAUUUUCUUUUUAUCAAUUUUUUCAAUUUGAGAUUGUUUUUUGGAUGAUCAGGUCGGAUAUUUGCUCUGUUUCGGUUCGUGUAUGAUAUGCUUUUGUAUGCUCGAUUAUUGAUCGUUCCUUAAAUCAUAAAGAAUCUUCCUUUCAGGUUUGGCCUCAAAACCCUAAUGUUGCUUCUUCUUGAUCUAUAUAUAUCUUAUUGUUCUUUGGUCUCAUUUUGAUUGUUUUUUUUUUCCAGCAUUCAUAAAUCUCUCAAGUCGUGUGGAACAAUUAUUGUGUUGGUUUUAUUGAGAGAUAAAAAGAUUUGAGGAUUUUUCACAACAACAUUGUUUGUUUGUCUGAUGGAGCAAUUCAGACAAAUCGGCGAAGUUCUUGGAAGUCUAAAUGCACUAAUGGUAUUACAAGAUGAUAUCUUGAUCAACCAAAGACAAUGUUGUUUGUUGCUAGAACUCUUCAGUUUAGCUUUCAACACGGUCGCAGAAGAGAUCAGACAGAAUCUAAAGCUUGAAGAGAAGCAUACUAAAUGGAGAGCUCUUGAACAACCUUUAAGAGAGCUUUAUAGAGUUUUUAAAGAAGGAGAGUUAUAUGUUAAGCAUUGUAUGGAUAAUAGUGAUUGAAUCGGUGGGGCAAAGUUAUCAAUCUUCAUCAGAAUAAAGAUUGUGUUGAGUUUCAUAUACACAACUUGUUCUGUUAUUUCUCUGCGGUUGUUGAAGCGAUCGAGGCUGCCGGUGAGAUUUCGGGUCUUGACCCUUCGGAGAUGGAGAGAAGGAGAGUUGUGUUUUCAAGAAAGUAUGAUAGAGAGUGGAAUGAUCUUAAGCUUUUUCAAUGGAGGUUUGGGAAACAGUAUUUGGUAUCGCGGGAUAUUUGCAGCCGGUUUGAGCGUUCUUGGAGAGAAGAUAGAUGGAAUCGAGUUAAGGCAUUACAAGAGAAGAGGAAAUCGGAUAGCGAUGAUAUUGGAAAGACCGAGAAACGUUUAGCAGAUUUGCUUUUGAAGAAGUUAACCGGUUUGGAGCAGUUUAACCGGUUACGAAUAAACCACACUCAAUAAUCUUGUCCUCGUCGCGCCCGCAGUUGAACUCAAAUGUAAUCUCGCUCAUGGUCACAUCCACUUCAUGGCAUUUGCUUCCUUGGGGAAACAAAUCACCAUGAAAUAUAAACAGAUGUUUUGACCGAAAAGACAAAUCCAGAUGUCUAAACUCGCAGCUAUGAACUGUAACACCUCCUUUGCUUCUUAUACUACAACUUAUAGUUCUAAAUCUGCCUUUCUUGACUGGGAAAAUGAGAAUGGAAGCCUUAAACCUUGAGGAAGCAGAGAGAGUACCCGGAGCGAGAGGAAUGGUUAUGGAUCUCCCUGUAGCUUUGUGAGUGAACUCUGCAGGGAUGUUUUUACCUGGUAACCAUUUAUAUAUGCCAACUGAUUUUUGUAUGAUUACUCUUCUUGCUUCUUCAUCCAGUUUCAAACAGUUGCUGAAUUGGAGUACAUUGGUUGGGGUAUGGAAAGAGAAGCGUACUCUCUUGAGUGAUACACAAUCGUUUGCAUCUAGGACCUUGAGGGAGGGGGGAAGACCCGGAACUGACUCGAGUUUUGUGCACCUUUUGACGUGAAGCCUUACUAAACGAGUGAGACAUAUGACGCAAUCUGGAAUCGUCUCUAUAUCACUGUUUUCAAGAAAUAGGUCAGUUAUAAAGAGUGGUACAUGUGUCAAUCUCUUGAGGCUUCUGCUGCAAAUGUUGAGGUGAUGAAGACGAGACAAACAUCCAGCAACUGAUGGAGGGACAUCUUCUAUAUCUGUAUCUCCGAGAUUGAGAACAUCGAUGUUACUGGAGAUAUCUGGAAAAGUUGUCAACCGUGAGCAACCAAUCAUGUCUACUCUCUCAAGAGAUGCUAAGUUUAUGUUGCUGGGAAUAACUUGUAGCAUAGAGCACCAUUGAACAUUUAGAAUCUUUAGUUUUUGUAAAUUCUUAAUAGAAGAUGGAAGCUCCACCAAACUUCCGCAGCCCUCAAGUGUCAAUUCCUCGAGAUUAGUAGCAUUUGAAAGAUUUGGGAUUUCUUUCAAUUUACGGGAUCGGUUCAGAUCUAUGCUCUUGAGAUUAGGAAGGGACUGCAUGUUAAACACAACAAAUGAGAAACAUUUCUUAUUUAAAUUGAAUCAUUAGAAGCACUAGAAAGAAUAUCGAAUACCAAACCUGGAUUCCUCCCCAGAGCUUCUCGAGAUUGCUAAAUGGCAUAUGGAGUUUCACGAGGCGUUCCGGCUGAAAUCUUAAAGGCAGACUUUUUCUUGAGUAAUUAUACCAAUCUAGUAACCUUAGACGAGGUAAAUACUGCAUAUCCUCUGGUAUUUGCAAACUCCUAUAGAUUCUUAGGAAUCGGAGAUUACGCAUUCCUUCAAAAGCCCCUUUACCUACAGAAACCUCUCCGAUAUUGGAUGUAUCAAAUGAUAUACCUAUGACUGAUCCAGUACCCUACAAAAUAACAUUGCCAAUGACUGAUGAAAUUGUUAUCACUAAAAAUAUAUAUGUAAGAACUUAAACUUACUGUUUCGGUUGACAGUACAUCACAAAUCUCAUCGGCCUCAAAUAAAAAUUGACGUUUCCCGGGCUCGUCAGACUGUUCAUGAACUAUCUGUCUACCCAACUGUUGUAGUAGAUGGUGCAUCACUAUAUGGCCAGACGUAGAUUUACGCACGAGAGAUUUAUCAGCUAGGGUCUCUAACCCAUUUCCAACAUCCAAGUUACUAUCAGAAAGCAGGGUUGUCACAUCAUCAGCGACUUCAUUGUUGAAGAAGCAUGCAAUGUGAAGGAAUAGAGAUUGAUUUUUCUUCGACAAUCUGUCGAAUCCGAUUCUUAAAAUGUCUUCAAUUUUUCUAUCAAGACUAGCUUCGAUCCUAGAUAAUUGAAGUUCCCACACGUGCUUCCUCUGCCCACGCAAAGAUUUACCCACAACACAAAGGCCUAAUGGAAGCUUGCCGCAAAGGUUUGCUACUUUUUUGGCAACCUCUUCAAAGCCAUCUGGUACAGAGCUUUGUUUGAAAGCAGAGAGACAUAAGAUCUCAAGAGCGUCUUCCUUGGAUGGAAAAUUCACAUGGUAGAUAUCGUUGAUCCCAUGUGCCUUCAAAAUCUUCUUAUCUUCUGUGGUAACGAUGAUCCGGCUUCCAAAACCAAACCAAGAAAGUUCUUCAGCCAAAACCUCUAAUAUCUUUAGAUCAUCUACAUCAUCAAGAAUGAUGAGCACUCUUUGAUCGUGUAGCCUUUCUUUGAUUGCACCUAAAUGAUGUAUCUUCAUAUUCUCUUGGUUCAAAAUCUUAGACAUAAGUUGGUUUUGCAACCACAACUUGGAAUCAUGCUCAUCAACACCCACUAUGCUCUUAAGACUUCCCUUGAGGUUCCCCAUAAAACAUUUAAGUUGAAAACUGCUAGAGAGUUGGUUGUCUAAAGCUCUAGCAAUGGUGGACUUACCAAUCCCUGCAGGACCCCAAAUCCCAAUCAUCUUGACUUCAUCACUU